GUCGAGCUUAGUAUCGCAAGCUUAUGAUCCGAGUGGAGACAUUAAGGUGAUGGGACGUUGUCCUGACUUGUCUGGGAAUGGUUUGGUGAGAUCUACCUACUGGCCCAAGUUGGAGUUCGGUUGGCGGAAUGGCCUGCCGUUAGUCUCCGGCCGAAGGAAUAUUGGACCACUGAUCUCUAAACCUUCGGCUCAUUGAACCAGUGAGCUCUAAACCAACUAGUCCUGGUAUGUCGGGUUAAAUUGGACCAUCACUUUU
rnacentral:SRP_RNA from 1 species